AGUGCGAAUGCUGACAUAAGUAACGAUAAAGCGGGUGAAAAGCCCGCUCGCCGGAAGACCAAGGGUUCCUGUCCAACGUUAAUCGGGGCAGGGUGAGUCGACCCCUAAGGCGAGGCCGAAAGGCGUAGUCGAUGGGAAACAGGUUAAUAUUCCUGUACUUGGUGUUACUGCGAAGGGGGGACGGAGAAGGCUAUGUCAGCCGGGCGACGGUCGUCCCGGUUUAAGCGUGUAGGCUGACCUUCCAGGCAAAUCCGGAAGGUUAAGGCUGAGGCGUGAUGACGAGGCACCACGGUGCUGAAGUGACAAAUGCCCUGCUUCCAGGAAAAGCCUCUAAGCAUCAGGUAACAUCAAAUCGUACCCCAAACCGACACAGGUGGUCAGGUAGAGAAUACCAAGGCGCUUGAGAGAACUCGGGUGAAGGAACUAGGCAAAAUGGUGCCGUAACUUCGGGAGAAGGCACGCUGACAUGUAGGUGAAGCCCCUGCGGGUGGAGCUGAAGUCAGUCGAAGAUACCAGCUGGCUGCAACUGUUUAUUAAAAACACAGCACUGUGCAAACACGAAAGUGGACGUAUACGGUGUGACGCCUGCCCGGUGCCGGAAGGUUAAUUGAUGGGGUUAUCGCAAGAGAAGCUCCUGAUCGAAGCCCCGGUAAACGGCGGCCGUAACUAUAACGGUCCUAAGGUAGCGAAAUUCCUUGUCGGGUAAGUUCCGACCUGCACGAAUGGCGUAAUGAUGGCCAGGCUGUCUCCACCCGAGACUCAGUGAAAUUGAACUCGCUGUGAAGAUGCAGUGUACCCGCGGCAAGACGGAAAGACCCCGUGAACCUUUACUACAGCUUGACACUGAACAUUGAGCCUUGAUGUGUAGGAUAGGUGGGAGGCUUUGAAGCGUGGACGCCAGUCUGCGUGGAGCCAACCUUGAAAUACCACCCUUUAAUGUUUGAUGUUCUAACCUGGCGCCGUGAUCCGGCGUGGGGACAGUGUCUGGUGGGUAGUUUGACUGGGGCGGUCUCCUCCCAAAGUGUAACGGAGGAGCACGAAGGUCAGCUAAUCCUGGUCGGACAUCAGGAGGUUAGUGCAAUGGCAUAAGCUGGCUUGACUGCGAGAGUGACGGCUCGAGCAGGUGCGAAAGCAGGUCAUAGUGAUCCGGUGGUUCUGUAUGGAAGGGCCAUCGCUCAACGGAUAAAAGGUACUCCGGGGAUAACAGGCUGAUACCGCCCAAGAGUUCAUAUCGACGGCGGUGUUUGGCACCUCGAUGUCGGCUCAUCACAUCCUGGGGCUGAAGUAGGUCCCAAGGGUAUGGCUGUUCGCCAUUUAAAGUGGUACGCGAGCUGGGUUUAGAACGUCGUGAGACAGUUCGGUCCCUAUCUGCCGUGGGCGCUGGAGAAUUGAGGGGGGCUGCUCCCAGUACGAGAGGACCGGAGUGGACGCAUCACUGGUGUUCGGGUUGUCAUGCCAAUGGCACUGCCCGGUAGCUAAAUGCGGAAGAGAUAAGUGCUGAAAGCAUCUAAGCACGAAACUUGCCCCG
rnacentral:rRNA from 1 species